UACGUAGGGGGCUAGCGUUGUCCGGAAUCAUUGGGCGUAAAGCGCGUGUAGGCGGUCCGGUAAGUCCGCUGUGAAAGUCGGGGGCUCAACCCUCGGAUGCCGGUGGAUACUGUCGGGCUUGAGUACGGAAGAGGCGAGUGGAAUUCCGUGGUGUAGCGGUGGAAUGCGCAGAUAUCAGGAGGAACACCGAUGGCGAAGGCAGCUCGCUGGGACGGUACUGACGCUGAGGUGACGAAAGCGUGGGGAGCAAACAGG
rnacentral:rRNA from 1 species